ensembl:lncRNA
GCUUCAUCCCAGUUCUGCUUUGCCUUGAUUUAGUCUCUGCCCCAGUAAAAGCACCUUGAAAUCAGAGCCUUGCUGAAGCCCUCCAGGCACGCUCUGUGCCCAUGCAGGUUACUCCCUAUUUGCUCCUCUGGGAUGUCCCUCGGCACCAGUGGGACCCAGGAUCUUCAGGCGGGUUGCUGCUGUCCCGGUGGGGCACCUCAGCAGGGACCUUGCCUUCCCUUGGAGCUGGCUGCAGCUUGGGGCACUCAGACUCUCCUGCUCCAUCCCCGCAUGAGAGGGAAGGGAGCAGCGGAGGACACUGGCAGAGCACAGCGCUUCCCCUUCUGCCUCUCUGCACUUGAUCCCAGCAUCUUGGGAGUGGAUCUCUCUCUCAUCCUCCCCACAGAGGGUCUAAGAGGCUUUUAAGCCCCCCCCCCCCCACAUACGCACGCACUCAACUCUCUGCUAAUCCUGGUGCCAUUUAAUAGCAGACCCAGCAAGGGCUGGGCGAAACUUGUGAGUCAUUAAUUCAGCUGGAAAGAUGAGCUAAUGAGAGGAACCUUGUGAGCUUCCCUCCCCACUCCUCGUUGCUCAGUGCAUAUUAAUCUUCCUGAGCACACGUGCCAGCAGCAUCCCCAACAGCUGAGCGCACUGCCGCAUGUUUGCUUUAUGGACCGUUGUUCCCUGUGCCCAAGACCUCUGCUUGACUUGCUAUAGUUCUUCCCAGUGAAUUUGUUCCAAAUCAGAUGAUUUAGUGGCAUGCGGAGACCUGGAGAUGGCAGGGGGAGGCCGCACACGUUAAUGAAGUCCCUGUUAAUGCUCGCGUGCUGUCGCCCGGGCGGGGGCACAGCUAAAGUCCCCAAUUCCUCUUUGCCUGGUGGGACUGAGCGCGAUCCCUCCUUCCACAGAUGGUGAGGGGCUCUGGGGUACAAAUUUGUCCAGCUGGGCUGGAUGACAGCAGUUCAGCUGCUAUGGGGCAAUGCUAGCAUCGCAGAAGUGUAAUUAAUUCUGCGCGCUACUUGGGGGAUAGAGGGGAGUUUGAAUACGGAGGCUGUAAAACUCUCCUGGGUGAAUGCAUCCAUCUUGGUUUGAGCUUUGCAAGCUUUCCCAGUUGUAUACCUCCUAAAAAUAUUCCCAUGGAGCCACAAAUUCCUGUAGAGUAACUGUAAGGCUGCCGACGAGAGGCUCACUUUUCUUAGUUAUGCUUAGAAAUAGCCCACAGCACUCCCGGGAUCCAUUGACCCCCAGCUGUAAACCACCGACCUGCAGCUUGUAGAGGAGGGAAAUGAGAGGGCAGCACCAUGAUUUCUACCCAGAUAAAGCCGUGCACACUGAAGAUGUCGGUUUUCAGUUUAUCUUCUCACCGUAAAUGUUUGAUUUCUCUUUAAAGGAAAAUUUCAGAGGGCUUUGUCAGUAGGCCAGUGGCUGUCACCGCUGGAAGGACAACUGCCAGGUCACAGCCCGGGCCAGGGGACAGAAGCAAGUGUGGUUUGAUGCCAUCAAGCAACAACCCAGUUUUAGGUUUGAGCGUGGGAGGAGUCUGCUUCUUCCUCAAGCUCAGAUGGCUGCUGUUGCCUGAGCCCUAGGAGCAGGAUGUAUUUAAAUAUUACUGCUAAUUGAGAGUAUUUUAGGUCUGUAUUUCUCCUAAAAAUUAACUCUCUUGAUUUGAAACGCUAAGUUGAGGCAUAAAAUUACUGUAGAUUAAUAAACCCCCUGUAAAUGUAAGUACUCACAAAAUGCGCGUUUGUUGCUCAAAAGUUAACGCUAAGCCAACAACUCAGGAGGCACGCAAAACCAGAAUUUGACAACAGCAAUGGGCUCUAAGUGCAGCGAAAGGACAGUCUUUAGCUCAAGGAUAAGUGUGGUCACAUUUGAGAAUCUGCAAACCCCAAAAAGCAGAAAGGCUCAUCUUCCACCCUUGUCCUAGCAGUGACAUCUGCAAGGUUGAAAUCUACACUGCUGAAAAUCCUCAAGGACCCCAGAGCCAGAGACCAAGCCAAAUUCAUUAACUACCUCUAAUGCUGCCUUUAAUAAAUUGUAUGGCUUUUAAAUACAAAC